rnacentral:rRNA from 1 species
CAGCCGCCGCGGUAAUACGUAGGUCCCGAGCGUUGUCCGGAUUUAUUGGGCGUAAAGCGAGCGCAGGCGGUUAGAUAAGUCUGAAGUUAAAGGCUGUGGCUUAACCAUAGUACGCUUUGGAAACUGUUUAACUUGAGUGCAAGAGGGGAGAGUGGAAUUCCAUGUGUAGCGGUGAAAUGCGUAGAUAUAUGGAGGAACACCGGUGGCGAAAGCGGCUCUCUGGCUUGUAACUGACGCUGAGGCUCGAAAGCGUGGGGCGCAAACAGGAUUAGAUACCCCAGUAGUCCCUGUCUCUUAUACA